GAACUAUUUCUGAAAGAACUCUUUGCAACUACAAAGCUCACCAUCUCUGCUGUGAAUCAGCUCCUCGAUGAAUUGAACUCAUGUCUCUAUGUAAAUUGAUCUUUUAACCAUAUUCUCUUUUUUUGUGUUUUAAAAUUUUUUUAGUUUAGUUAAUAAGAAUUGGCUGUAGCGCGUAUUUGAGUAAGAUCUGAAACAUUCAUUAACCUGGGAGGUAAUGUGUCCAAUCCUUUGGGAUUGGUAGAACCUUUAUAUAAUAAUGAUGAAACAAGAUUUACAGAAAUUUUCAUCAUAUUUGAUCUGGUACCUGGAUGGAGGUCUGAGGCUGGAUCACUUUAAGGGAUCUGUGUUGUUUGGGCUUCUGAGUAACCAGCAAGGUAAGAAAGAUGCUGUUUUAUGCUGGUUUGGUGAAUCUAAGUAUUGGAAUAUCCACCACCUUUAUGGGGAUUGUCUGCCCCAUUCUUUGCAGUUCACCUCAAUUGAGUGACCACAGCCAGCUUCCCACUAGGACCCUGGUCCCAGUGGCGUAGUCAUGCUUAGACACACAUUACCAUAGGUUAAUUGAGUUUUUGGAUCAGAACCACAAGCUUGUCAAAAUUUAAUUUUGAUAAUGCAGAGUUAACUGAUUUUUAAUCCUUAAUAGUGAGCAACCCAUGAUCAAGAUCCUGACAGAAAAAGCCUGGAAGAAUCGUGCUUACAGAGAGGGUUGUAUUUUAAGCAAAAGGCCCCAGAGCAGAAACUGAAAAAUGUGUUAAUUUCCCAUAAUAAGGAAGCAGACCCAGCAAAAAUGCUUGCAGUGAGAAACCAGCAGCUAGAACUUGACCAAAACCAAAAAAUAUCUGAUAUGGAAGGAGAAGCUGCUGAAUAAGAGUGCCUGUUUUGCACAUGAACAGCGAAUGACAUAUAUUUGAUUGCAGAAACUGAAAGCUAAGGCCUGAGGCUGGAUCACUUUAAUGGAACUGUGUUGUUUGGACUUCUGAGUAACCAGUAAGAAACUUGUGAGAGCACAAGAAGGACCGGCUGUCGGGAUGAAUCAGAGUUGUGUACUGAAGGAGGCUGUUGCAAAAGUUGGAAGGGGGAAGAACCACUAAGUCCAGGCUACUAUUGAUUUCUGAGGACAACAAAUGAAAAAACAGGAGUGGGAGAGAGGUCAGAGAUAAAGAAUGAGGGAUCCAGAGGGGAACGCCAAGCAGAAACCCCCCAAGAGCGCCCACUAUUCCUGAAAGGCAUGCUGGGAGCUGCUGCCAAGAAGAACUCUGCCCCAAGGUGUGAUCGGAUAAGGCACAGGAAAUAGGUCCCAGAGUCAGAGCUUCCUCCUCCUGGAAUGAUGGAUGGCUGUCUUGGUCUCUCAACUUAGUGGGGCCAUGGAUGGGGUGUGCAAAAAUCAGAAUUCCACUUGAAAAUAAUCCAUUCAGCACCUGCAGCUCCUGGGAUGAGGAGUGGCUUCUGUGUCUUGCUCAAAGAUGCUCUCUACAUCUUUGGUCAAGCAGAAUGCUACAAGAAUUAUCUUGCUUAAGGUAGUACAACGUUGGAAAACCAGAUGACCCCCACCUCCUGCAGCAUGCUUUGCUCUUGUAUAAAACCUGCUAGUAACUCUCCAUGUAUGAAGAGUUCUGGAGCAUGCCAACUUCUGAGAGGGGGAAGGUAACUCCAUAUACUAUCUAGCUCCCCCAAGGAUCUCAACAAGCAUUGCAAUAUUGCAAAGCUGAACAUGAAAUGUUACAUAUUUCAAGGGACCAAUUCUUCCUUCAUGUGCACUGUGUAACCCCUGGUCAAUGGGUUGCAGAAGGUGUAAAUGGCUGCUGACAGCUGGAACAUCCAAAGUACCAUCUUAAUAUUAGAAACAAGCAACUGCAGAAGCACUGUCAGCAAUGAUGGCUAGAUUCAUUCAGAUCUUCACUGCCUCAGCUGCAUCCUUUUGCUUUACACGAGUGAGCUCAAUAUAGCAAUUUAAAAAUCAUGCCGUUAGGGAUGGCAGAGCUUGUUUCCGAAGAGCCUGUGUGUCAGAAAAGCAGCAGUCACUUAAAGCAGAGAAAGCCUGUCUGCCCAAGCAUUCCUCUGACCUUGAGAAAAUCUGUUUGCUCAGUAGGGGAGCCCAUCAAAUGUGCUAAGCAGCAGAGUGAAGUCAUCUUUUUUGCAUGUUUCAUUCUUUAUUUUAACAUUAUCUUGUAAAUUCUGAUUGAUCAAGCAAAAGUGACAGUCCCCUCCAAUCUGUCAUAUUGACUUUUGUAAUUCGCUGGUUAACUGUUUGCAUAUGUGAAUUAUCAGCAUGGAAGGUCAUGUGUGCCUUUGAUUGCUUCACCUUGUUUGGCAACCAGACUUUUUUUGUUUUAUGCCAAAGAACAGCUCCCAGCUGAGAGCAUCUGCAGGGUGUUCACAACCAGCCGAUGCCACAAUCAUCUAGGCUGGUAUCCACCGACGCAGGAGAUGAUGAUUAUUUACCUGUGUUGCAGUGGCGCCCAACAGCCUCCCUAGCCUGGGAGCACAUUGUGCUGAAUGCCGUACGAACACGUCACCAGAGCUUACAGCCUAACGCAGAGGAGAUGGAACGAAUGUAUGUUGCAUGGGGUAGGGGGAAGAUGGAAGCCAAGGUGAUGGUGAGGAGAUCCUAUGGUCUCUUAGGCCAACAACCUGCCUGAUUUGAUGGCUCUGAUAGUUCUCUGUCCUUUUAACCCUCUGCCAAUUUACAAUUACACAAAAUGACCGCUUUCCCAGAGAGACUAAACUAAACAUUUGCUCAUGACUCCUGUCCUGCAGCCUUCUACCAGGUGCAUCCUCAUGGCAGCCAUGGAGCAGAGAGCCACAGCGAUAGGGUGACCAUAUUUCCCAAAGAAAAAACAGGACACCUCCAGCCCUCGCCCGAGGCCCCUACCAUCAGACUGUUGCCUGUGGCUAGAACCCUGUGGGGGGCCCCCUCUGGAGGCUGCUGGGCCCCUCGCUGGAACCCUGCUGGGGGGCCCUCAGGAGGCUGCCGAGCCCCUAACUAGAACCCUGCGGGGUGGUGGGAGGGGCUCAGGAGGCUGUCAGCCGCUUGCUGGAACCCUGCCGCUGGGGUGGGGAGGGAGGAAUAAACAUGGGGAAAUACACUAAAACUAAAAUAAUUUUACUAUUUCCCCAUGUUUAUUCCCCCCCCCCCACUGUUCCUCACAACUUUUUGUCAACUGCUGCAAAUGGACCAUUUUGAUUACCACUACAAAAAGUUUUUUUCUCUCCUGCUGGUAACAGCUCACUUUAACUGAUCACUCUCAUUAGAGUAUGUAUGGUAACACCCAUUGUUUCAUGUUCUGUCUAUCUAUCUAUCUAUCUACUGUAUUUUCCACUGCAUGCAUCCGAUGAAGUGAGCUGUAGUCCAUGAAAGUUUAUGCUCAAAUAAAUUUGUUAGGUCUCUAAGGUG